rnacentral:rRNA from 1 species
GCAGGCUUAACACAUGCAAGUCGAGGGGCAGCGGGGGGCGCGCUUGCGCGUCCCGCCGGCGACCGGCGCACGGGUGAGUAACACGUAUGCAACCUGCCCCCGCCAGGGGUACAACCCUCCGAAAGGGGGGCUGAUACCGCGUACAUCCCCCGGGGGCAUCCCCGGGGGAGGAAAGCCCUACGGGGCGGGCGGGGAUGGGCAUGCGGCGCAUUAGGAAGACGGCGGUGUGACGGACCACCGUUCCGACGAUGCGUAGGGGUUCUGAGAGGAAGGCCCCCCACACUGGUACUGAGACACGGACCAGACUCCUACGGGAGGCAGCAGUGAGGAAUAUUGGUCAAUGGCCGGAAGGCUGAACCAGCCAAGCCGCGUGAGGGAGGAAGGCGCAGAGCGUCGCAGACCUCUUUUGCCGGGGGACAAAAGGCCGGACUCGUCCGGUCCUGAGGGUACCCGGAGAAAAAGCAUCGGCUAACUCCGUGCCAGCAGCCGCGGUAAUACGGAGGAUGCGAGCGUUAUCCGGAUUCAUUGGGUUUAAAGGGUGCGCAGGCGGGCCUUUAAGCCGGCGGUGAAAUCGCGGGGCUCAACCCCGCCGAGCCGUCGGAACUGGGGGCCUUGAGUGCGGCGGAGGCAUGCGGAAUGCGCGGUGUAGCGGUGAAAUGCAUAGAUAUCGCGCAGAACCCCGAUUGCGAAGGCAGCGUGCCGUGCCGCCACUGACGCUGAGGCACGAAAGCGCGGGGAUCGAACAGGAUUAGAUACCCUGGUAGUCCGCGCCGUAAACGAU